UACGUAGGGUGCGAGCGUUAAUCGGAAUUACUGGGCGUAAAGCGUGCGCAGGCGGUUUUGUAAGCCAGAUGUGAAAUCCCCGGGCUUAACCUGGGAAUGGCAUUUGGGACUGCAAGGCUUGAGUGCGGCAGAGGAGACUAGAAUUCCUGGUGUAGCAGUGAAAUGCGUAGAUAUCUGGAGGAACACCGGUGGCGAAGGCGGCAUCCUGGACCGGCAUUGACGCUGAGGCGCGAAAGCCAGGGGAGCAAACGGG
rnacentral:rRNA from 1 species